rnacentral:sRNA from 1 species
UCUCUUUGAGUUGGCUAAUCCUUUUCACCCUUUUUUAACACGCUUUCAUCUGUGCCUGCCCUCUCGCACCUGGCAAAAUGCUGUAAGUACAUGAUGAGCCCCUCGGUCAAAUCGCAGGUGAACCAUAAAAUAUCACAGUUACCGCCUAGCAGAUUCAGAUUUCCUGCUAUAAGGAUGCCAAAAACCCGACUCAUUUGCAAGAUCGUCGGUAGACAUACCGAUGAGGGACGCUGUAAUGCAAUGGCCGUACGGCCAUGUCACAUCACUUCGAGCACCCACUUAUCGACAUGACGGAGGUUACCGCAGAGAUCAAGGAGCGGUGUAGAGUCGUUGUUGAAAUGGGAUACUUUAUUACUUUUACUUUCUUUUACUUAGAAGUCCACAUGGUACUUAGUCCACCCUAGGCUAGUUAUCUGUGUGAUUCUCCUUAGAUAUAAUCUAUCUUCGUAUAUGCAGCCUUAUAGGCAAACGCUUUAUAGCGCAAAUACAGCAGGACUGUAUCAGCAACACCAGCAUGCUCGACAUGAGACCCGAGCUUAACUAAUUGUUACCUCUAUACCAAACUAUCACCAGAUACAUAGGGUAUUUCCAUCGUAUGUACUAUGAUCACCACAGCCAAACCUUUGGGAGGCUAUAU